CUUCCCCCGCCAUUGUCCCUUUGUCCUUGAGAAGGGAACCAAGAUGUCCUUGGAGCCGCCUGGGAGAGGCAGGUGGGGGGGGAGAAAACAGCCACCACCUCCAGGCGCCCCUCGAUGCCCCCUUUUUUCCCUCCUCGGUAGGAAAGGCAGGGUUGAGCCUUGCGGUGUGUAUGUGGGGGUCCCGUCCCCCCAAGCCCCUAAUUCACAUAGGGGGUGGAGGGUGCCGAGUUAUAGGGAUUCCUGGGGCGGGACCUGAGAUCCGAGGAGAAAAGGGCGAGGAAAGCCCCAUUUCCUUCCUUUGUCUGGGUUUUUAUUUUUCGGGGGGUGGUGGAAAAGAGGUCGAAACCGACCCCCAUCUCGAGUUGCCUCUCCAGCAGGAAUUAGGGCGCCACGUAAGAGGAAGAAAAGCUUCGUCCUGUCACGCUUUACCUGUCUUCUUUUGGGUAUUCCGUGGAUGUUUAUCAUUUCUGUAACUAAUGGGUUUCAGAUGACCUGUACAGACUUAUUUUUUUGUUAAGAUUGCAUCAGGUUCUACUAACCAGGAAGAUUCAGGUGGAGUUAGAAGAGAGCAUGUUAACUGCUUCAGACACGUUAAAGAGCUGGAUGUGCAAAAUAUCUGAUGCUGACUGAAGCACUGAGACCAGACAAAGGAAGAAUCUUAAAGGGAGACAACGAGUUCCAAAUCAAGAUGGCAGUUCCACUGAUUGAGAGGUUGAGGAAUGAACUAAUGCAUGAUUGCUGAGUAUGUCCAGCCAAGAGGGGCACUUUAGCAUGGACCUUCAAUGUUACCUUAACCAGAGAAGAUUUGGGCUAAUGACCAUCCAAUACAUGGAUUUUAUUAAUUAAAUGAUUUCAAACUCUUGUAUUAGAACUUACUUGGGGUUGGGGAUGGAACUGUUUGAAUUUUCAAGCCAGGAAUGUAUGCAUAUGUUCGUCACCUAUUUACUUGGCAGAAGUGCGAUGCUAUUUUAAAUGGCUUAAAUAAAAGUGGUUUUUUUACAUUUUUA